rnacentral:rRNA from 1 species
AUUGAACGCUGGCGGCAGGCCUAACACAUGCAAGUCGAACGGUAACAGGAAGAAGCUUGCUUCUUUGCUGACGAGUGGCGGACGGGUGAGUAAUGUCUGGGAAACUGCCUGAUGGAGGGGGAUAACUACUGGAAACGGUAGCUAAUACCGCAUAACGUCGCAAGACCAAAGAGGGGGAACUUCGGGCCUCUUGCCAUCGGAUGUGCCCAGAUGGGAUUAGCUAGUAGGUGGGGUAACGGCUCACCUAGGCGACGAUCCCUAGCUGGUCUGAGAGGAGGACCAGCCACACUGGAACUGAGACACGGUCCAGACUCCUACGGGAGGCAGCAGUGGGGAAUAUUGCACAAUGGGCGCAAGCCUGAUGCAGCCAUGCCGCGUGUAUGAAGAAGGCCUUCGGGUUGUAAAGUACUUUCAGCGGGGAGGAAGGGAGUAAAGUUAAUACCUUUGCUCAUUGACGUUACCCGCAGAAGAAGCACCGGCUAACUCCGUG